rnacentral:rRNA from 1 species
CACAGGCGCGAAACCUUUACACUGCACGACAGUGCGAUAGGGGGAUCCCAAGUGCACAGGCAUAGAGCCUGUGCUUUUCUGUACCGUAAGGCGGUACCAGAAUAAGGGCUGGGCAAGACCGGUGCCAGCCGCCGCGGUAAUACCGGCAGCCCGAGUGAUGGCCGAUCUUAUUGGGCCUAAAGCGUCCGUAGCUGGCCGCGCAAGUCCAUCGGGAAAUCCACCCGCUCAACGGGUGGGCGUCCGGUGGAAACUGUGUGGCUUGGGACCGGAAGGCGCGACGGGUACGUCCGGGGUAGGAGUGAAAUCCCGUAAUCCUGGACGGACCGCCGAUGGCGAAAGCACGUCGCGAGAACGGAUCUGACAGUGAGGGACGAAAGCCAGGGUCUCGAACCGGAUUAGAUACCCGGGUAGUCCUGGCCGUAAACAAUGUUUGCUAGGUGUGGCUCCCACUACGAGUGGGUGCUGUGCCGUAGGGAAGCCGCUAAGCAGUC